rnacentral:rRNA from 1 species
GAUGAACGCUGGCGGCGUGCCUAAUACAUGCAAGUCGAGCGAACGGACGAGAAGCUUGCUUCUCUGAUGUUAGCGGCGGACGGGUGAGUAACACGUGGAUAACCUACCUAUAAGACUGGGAUAACUUCGGGAAACCGGAGCUAAUACCGGAUAAUAUUUUGAACCGCAUGGUUCAAAAGUGAAAGACGGUCUUGCUGUCACUUAUAGAUGGAUCCGCGCUGCAUUAGCUAGUUGGUAAGGUAACGGCUUAGCAAGGCAACGAUGCAUAGCCGACCUGAGAGGGUGAUCAGCCACACUGGAACUGAGACACGGUCCAGACUCCUACGGGAGGCAGCAGUAGGGAAUCUUCCGCAAUGGGCGAAAGCCUGACGGAGCAACGCCGCGUGAGUGAUGAGGGUCUUCGGAUCGUAAAACUCUGUUAUUAGGGAAGAACAUAUGUGUAAGUAACUGUGCACAUCUUGACGGUACCUAAUCAGAAAGCCACGGCUAACUACGUG